AUUAUAUAAAGGAACAGCUGAGGGUGUUUAGGUAAUAACACUUUUCGUGUCCCCCUUAAAAAUGACUAAAACACCCUCUAUCUUUUACUUCAAACCCUUCGUCGUUUACCCACAAACUCUCUCCUCCUCUGCCGACAAACUGUUUAACCAUGAAAGCACAAACUCUCUCCCUCUCUCUCUCUCUCAACUCCAUCACCUUCCUCCACUCCCUUUCUCUCUCCUCUCUUCUGAUUCAAAGAUUGCAAAAUCAGUAAAGUAAUUGAGGUGUUUCAAAGAUUGUAAAUUCGUCUGAUCGCGUUCUUUCGUAUUAUUCAUUCAAUUGUACUGAUUUCGUUCGUUUAAUUGAUUUGAUUUUGAUUUAUUCGACUAAAUUGAUUGAUGAAGUGGUUUCGAAGAUGGUAGAGGAUCUUCAUCCUCUUUCUUCUUUCACUUCCUAUAUUUCCUCCUCUGGUUUUAGUCUGCAUUAGACUCAAAACUCUUACUUCUCAAGGGAAAAACAAUUCGUCGAAGAUUUACCGAGUAUUAUGCCAACAAUAUAAGUCAGAUCAGAUGUAAUACUACUAAGUGCAGUUGGACAGAUUUAUAUACGGAACAGAGUACAAUUGCUAGAAGACAAGUAGUUUCUUUUUUUAAAGUUAUAGUUUUUCAUCCUUUUUGCUACAGAAAUCAAAUUGUUUAUUGUUCACUAUUUGUAUUUUAACAUUUAAACAAUGCAUAGAGAGAUUAUAUUCUGGCUGAAAUUUCAUACAGUCAGUUUAUUUUGAUUUGGUAUUUUGGGUUAAUUCCUAGAAUUGGAGGAUGUCAAUUACAAAAUUUACAAUGAGAAUGUUCUUUUUAUA